rnacentral:rRNA from 1 species
GAUGAACGCUGGCGGCGUGCUUAAUACAUGCAAGUCGAGCGAACAGACGAGGAGCUUGCUCCUCUGACGUUAGCGGCGGACGGGUGAGUAUCACGUGGAUAACCUACCUAUAAGACUGGGAUAACUUCGGGAAACCGGAGCUAAUACCGGAUAAUAUAUUGAACCGCAUGGUUCAAUAGUGAAAGACGGUUUUGCUGUCACUUAUAGAUGGAUCCGCGCCGCAUUAGCUAGUUGGUAAGGUAACGGCUUACCAAGGCAACGAUGCGUAGCCGACCUGAGAGGGUGAUCGGCCACACUGGAACUGAGACACGGUCCAGACUCCUACGGGAGGCAGCAGUAGGGAAUCUUCCGCAAUGGGCGAAAGCCUGACGGAGCAACGCCGCGUGAGUGAUGAAGGUCUUCGGAUCGUAAAACUCUGUUAUUAGGGAAGAACAAAUGUGUAAGUAACUAUGCACGUCUUGACGGUACCUAAUCAGAAAGCCACGGCUAACUACGUG